rnacentral:rRNA from 1 species
CACGUAGGGUGCGAGCGUUGUCCGGAAUUAUUGGGCGUAAAGAGCUCGUAGGCGGUGUGUCGCGUCGGCCGUGAAAACCUGCAGCUUAACUGUGGGCUUGCGGUCGAUACGGGCAUCACUGGAGUUCGGCAGGGGAGACUGGAAUUCCUGGUCUAGCGGUGAAAUGCGCAGAUAUCAGGAGGAACACCGGUGGCGAAGGCGGGUCUCUGGGCCGAUACUGACGCUGAGGAGCGAAAGCGUGGGGAGCGAACAGG